CCCUUAGUAGUCUAGUGGUAGGACGACAGAUUGUGAUUCUGUUUGCGGCAGUUCAAUUCUGCCCUAGGGGACCA
rnacentral:tRNA from 1 species